rnacentral:rRNA from 1 species
AUUGAACGCUGGCGGCAUGCCUUACACAUGCAAGUCGAACGGUAACAGGUCUUCGGACGCUGACGAGUGGCGAACGGGUGAGUAAUGCAUCGGAACGUGCCCAGUCGUGGGGGAUAACUGCUCGAAAGAGCAGCUAAUACCGCAUACGACCUGAGGGUCAAAGCGGGGGACCGUAAGGCCUCGCGCGAUUGGAACGGCCGGUGUCAGAUUAGCCAGUUGGUGGGGUAACGGCCAACCAAGGCAACGAUCUGUAGUUGGCCUGAGAGGACGACCGGCCACACUGGGACUGAGACACGGCCCAGACUCCUACGGGAGGCAGCAGUGGGGAAUUUUGGACAAUGGGCGCAAGCCUGAUCCAGCAAUGCCGCGUGCAGGAAGAAGGCCUUCGGGUUGUAAACUGCUUUUGUCAGGGAAGAAAUCUUCUGGGCUAAUACCCCGGGAGGAUGACGGUACCUGAAGAAUAAGCACCGGCUAACUACGUGCCAGCAGCCGCGGUAACAC